UCACUUUUGCCUGUGAUUUCUAUGACUGGAUAACGUCGACGAGUAUGGAAGUGAUAUAUAGAAAAUUUUACGUUUUGUUGUAUUAAUUUGCUACAUGGUGGUGUUUGAACAAAGGAAAAAAAAGUUGGUUAUACAGGUGAUGUUACUCCUUGCUGAUUCUUGAAAUAAUUAGUGUAUAUUGAGAUGAAUAAUACAGAAGUUGGUUAGCACUAUAACAAAGUGUCUCGGGGGUGGAAUGUCUUCAGCACCUAAUACAGCCAUUUAGUUAGCAGUGUCGGAGCAGACUUGGAGCUGUUCUCACAGCUGACCACUGAUUUUCCAUAUUUCAUGUUUUCUCUGUUAAGGAAUGUAGACCAUUUCAAAUGUAAAAACUUUUUACAGGGAAUCCCAAAGAGGGUGGGGUAAGGUUGUAACUGAGAAAAGCCCUUUCAUUUACACUUUAAUUAAAAACUUUUCACAUAUACUACAUGCCAUAUAUUUCCACGCAUAAAACGCCCUUUAAAUCCUAAAAUUCACCCCUAAAAAUUGAGGGUUGUCUUCUACAAUUUUAAAAACCAAAUCUUGAAUUUUAAAAUGGUUUAUUGAUAGGCUAGCCUCAUUGCAAUAACCAUUGACAUAAUUAAAAGAUUCACAUUAUGAAAUAAACUGAUGAUGAAGGUAAUAAAACCAUCUUUCAUCUCUGCGAGCCCAGCUGAGAUACUGAACAUUCAGGUAUGUUUGUGGUCACAGCAUCCUUGGAUCUUUUGGCAACAAUUACACAUGCCCUAGUG